rnacentral:rRNA from 1 species
GCUCAACCGGGGAGGGUCAUUGGAAACUGGGAAACUUGAGUGCAGAAGAGGAGAGUGGAAUUCCACGUGUAGCGGUGAAAUGCGUAGAGAUGUGGAGGAACACCAGUGGCGGAGGCGACUCUCUGGUCUGUAACUGACGCUGAGGAGCGAAAGCGUGGGGAGCGAACAGGAUUAGAUACCCUGGUAGUCCACGCCGUAAACGAUGAGUGCUAAGUGUUAGGGGGUUUCCGCCCCUUAGUGCUGCAGCUAACGCAUUAAGCACUCCGCCUGGGGAGUACGGUCGCAAGACUGAAACUCAAAGGAAUUGACGGGGGCCCGCACAAGCGGUGGAGCAUGUGGUUUAAUUCGAAGCAACGCGAAGAACCUUACCAGGUCUUGACAUCCUCUGACAACCCUAGAGAUAGGGCUUUCCCUUCGGGGACAGAGUGACAGGUGGUGCAUGGUUGUCGUCAGCUCGUGUCGUGAGAUGUUGGGUUAAGUCCCGCAACGAGCGCAACCCUUGAUCUUAGUUGCCAGCAUUUAGUUGGGCACUCUAAGGUGACUGCCGGUGACAAACCGGAGGAAGGUGGGGAUGACGUCAAAUCAUCAUGCCCCUUAUGACCUGGGGCUACACACGUGCUACAAUGGACAGAACAAAG